GAUGAACGCUGGCGGCGUGCCUCAAACAUGCAAGUCGAGCGGGGCUAUGUAAUAUCGCAAGGUAGAACAUAGCCUAGCGGCGAACGGGUGAGUAACACGUGGGUAACCUGCCUGGAAGACAGGGAUAACGAUUCGAAAGGGUCGCUAAUACCUGAUAAUAUCCUUUCAUCGCAUGGUGAUAGGAAGAAAGGGGAAACCCGCUUUCAGAUGGGCCCGCGUCCCAUCAGCUAGUUGGUAAGGUAAAGGCUUACCAAGGCGACGACGGGUAGCCGGUCUGAGAGGAUGUACGGCCACACUGGGACUGAGAUACGGGCCCAGACUCCUACGGGAGGCAGCAGUUGGGAAUCUUAGGCAAUGGACGAAAGUCUGACCUAGCGACGCCGCGUGAGGGAAGAAGGCCUUCGGGUUGUAAACCUCUGUCAUGGGGGAAGAAGUAAGUGACGGUACCCCAAGAGGAAGCCCCUGCUAACUACGUG
rnacentral:rRNA from 1 species